rnacentral:rRNA from 1 species
AUUGAACGCUGGCGGCAUGCCUUACACAUGCAAGUCGAACGGUAACAGGUCUUCGGAUGCUGACGAGUGGCGAACGGGUGCGUAAUACAUCGGAACGUGCCCAGACGUGGGGGAUAACGAGGCGAAAGCUUUGCUAAUACCGCAUACGAUCUAAGGAUGAAAGCAGGGGACCGCAAGGCCUUGCGCGUUUGGAGCGGCCGAUGGCAGAUUAGGUAGUUGGUGGGAUACAAGCUUACCAAGCCGACGAUCUGUAGCUGGUCUGAGAGGACGACCAGCCACACUGGGACUGAGACACGGCCCAGACUCCUACGGGAGGCAGCAGUGGGGAAUUUUGGACAAUGGGCGAAAGCCUGAUCCAGCAAUGCCGCGUGCAGGAUGAAGGCCUUCGGGUUGUAAACUGCUUUUGUACGGAACGAAAAGGCUCUGGCUAAUACCUGGGGCACAUGACGGUACCGUAAGAAUAAGCACCGGCUAACUACGUG